rnacentral:sRNA from 1 species
UAGAUUAUAACAUAAACCUACCCCUUGUU